rnacentral:lncRNA from 1 species
CCUUUACUCUGAUCACCAGAGAAAGCUAUUUAGAACAUGAUGGGCUAAGGAUAACAGGAAAAGGUAAAGAAAAACUAUGAUUGCAAAACUUCGCUCACAUCUCUGUGUAGAUAAAGCUUGGUUGUGAAAGAUAGACGGCCCAUAUGCAACCCAGGAUGACCAGAGGGGAACUGGCACUGCCCCUUAACUGUGAGCCGAAAAAAUGGUGCAAAUUAUGGUGAAUUUAAAUUUUAAAAUGUGUUUCUUCCUUAAUAGAGAUUUAGACUGCAUGGCCUUCAUGGACUACUGUUUCUCUUUGAGAGGUACUGUGGCAUUACAUCUGAAGUUAGGAAGAAAGCAAAAAACCCCACAAGUCAGAAUUCCCCUCGAGAACCCCUAAGGAAGGUGUGACCACGCUGAAAACCAACACCCCACUUCUCCAGCGCAGUCAGCUUUUCCUCCGGUGUCAGAACAAUUGUGGUUUCUUUGGAUGAGCACCAGAUGAAAUAAUUGGCUCAUAUCUAGAGAUCACCUUGUAAAGAAAACACAUCUUUAAACACAACUAUACUCAGCACAGCAAGAUGCUCACAUCCCAUUAAAAAAAAAAAUAGUAUGUACCCUUGACAUGAUAUAAUAAAAAUGAUAUUUUACCUCUAUGAUUCUUCCCCCUAAAAACCUUUAGGGAAUCUCAGUCUAAUCAUGAGAAAGAGAAUCAGACAAAUCCCAACUGAGGAACAUUCUACAAAAAAACCUCAUUAGAACUCCUCAAAACUGUCAAGGUCAUCGAAAACAAGUGCUGGGCAUGUGGCUCAUGCCUGUAAUCCCAGCACUUUGUGGGGCCAAGGUGGGAGGAUCACUUGAGCCCAGGAGUUCAAGACUAGCCUGGGCAACAUGGCAAGACCCUGUCUC